AAACAAUGAACUACUGCUUAAUGGAACAAUCGUAAUCACACCUGUUUAGAAGUUAAUGUGGUACGGUAUAGUGGAUCAUAAUCAAGUUCUUAAAGUAAAAUCUUCUAGUAAACACAAUGAAGAGUAGAGCGGUAAUAAAUAUCAAAAUUUACUGUCUUCUUUUACAAUAUGCAAAUUCUCAAUAUCCCGAAGUCUACAGUGGAAUUCAACAAGGAUACCAACAUCCCUACCAAAACAUUGCUUAUUCACAAUACUCCAAUCAAAGAACUUAUAAUAACUAUGACAACAAUAAAUGGAUACAAGGAAACUACGAAGACUACAACGAUUAUGUAGAAGAGAUUUGUGUCUGUGAUAAAUGUGAUGAAACCAUCACUAAACCAGCCUGUAGAAAUGUGUGUCCAAAUUGUUUUAACACACCGCCUCCUAUACCAAGUUACGUAUUUCUUCCUUUCCUAUAUCCAUAUCCAAUGACUCCUAAUACAACUGCUGCCCCAGUUCCACAAACUAUUGAUACUACUACAGCUUCAACUGUUGAAAAUACAAUAACAACAACAGAAGCAAGUACUACAGAAAUGAAGACUAUAGAAAUAAAGACAGGAACAGUUAAAACAAUUACAAUAGAAACUUCCACACCUCCUAAUGCUUUACCAGAAGAUAACAAUGAUGUAUUAAAAGACAAAUCUCUUUUCAACAUAAAAGAUAAAGGUCAAUACACACUUACAUCACUAAGACGAACUAAACCUAAUUGGUUACCGAAAUAUGGUAUGGUACCAAUUUCAGAUACAUUUGCAGAGAAAUUGAUGUUACAGCUUAGAAGUAUGAGAGUGUUACACCCACAGAAAGAUAAUAUGAGAAACACUGAUGAAAUAACUCCGUCAUAUUAGAUUUUUAACGCUUUUAAAUGUUUGCGUUUUCUAUUUUUUGAUAAACUUGUUAUACCCAAUAUACUUAAACGUCGAUAUUUAAGUUGGAGAUCCAGAAAGCUAGGUUGUUAAUUUAUGCUACAAAAAAUAUUGAAAAGAAAAGUUACAAAUGUAAAAUUGUUAUAAGUAUUGAAAAGUGUUUACAACUAUACCUAACCACUGCGAUUGUUCUUAUAACCGCCAUACCGAUAGGUAAAAUCAGCUUACCUACUUUAUGAAACAACUGCAAUAUUUUUGUUAUUUACAUAAAAGUACUACAAUUUUUUUUAUUAUUGAGCACUUUGCCAUAAAAUGUUAUAAUAAAGGCUUACAUGAAAAUUGUUGAUGUGUACUUUGAAUCACGGUCUAAAAUCAAGGAUUUGUUUUUAAUUCAAAUUUAGUAUAAUUUUAAUUUAAAGUUAAGUGUGAAAAUGUAGCGGAAUAAUAAGCUAUGAACUUGAUUAUCAUACUUGAAAUUCUAAUUUUAUUUCAAAAAGUAUUAAAUCAGUACGCCCCAGACCAGAUCUAUCAUCUGUCCCAACAAUACACUCAAGCAGCCUACUACCUACCAUCGCAAAACGAGGAGUACAGUUGGACGGAAGGAAAUCAUAUCAAAACCCGAAAAACGCGUAGAAAAAGAAAGAAACACAAUGAUUACUACAUUAGUGCUGAACUAGAUUACGAUCCUAGAAGAUUACAAUGCAAAUGCAAAUGUAAAAGAAAGUAUGAUACUAAACCUGUACCAGAGUAUGACCAAAAUUAUCCGUGUUGUCCUUGUGAUAGUAAACCUGAUGCUGGUAAUGAAUAUUUACCGCCUCAAUAUCCUGAUGCGGAAACUAAUGGAAUCGGCAUACCAACUCAAUUCCCAUAUCCUGUCGAUAGCGGAAUCUAUACCCCAGCUACAUAUCCACCAAUUAUAUACCAUACAUUCGAUCUGACUGAAUUAGGAAAAGUGUUUCCUUGGUUAACAACAAAAGCAGAUAGUAAUGGCCAGACAGAUAAAGACAAAGCGAGUACAAAAUAUGAUAAAGACAAGUCUAGUAAAAGCGAUGAUAAGGACAAACCGACUACAGGAGACGACAGGGACAUAAAAGAUAAAUCUAGUACAAGCGAAGAUAAGCAGAAAGCUACUACAAGAGACGACAGGGACAAAAUAGACAAGUCUAGCAAAAGCGAUGAUAAGGACAAAACUACUUCAAGAGACGAUAGGGUCAGAACUAGUGAAGAAGUAACUACCACAAUAGACGAUAGAGACAAACCUGGCAAAGAUGAAAAAGACAAAACCAGUACAAAAGAAAAACCUCCGGAAAAAAGUUCUCCUAGAACUGAAGAAAGCACUACAAGCACUACAACUGAGCCUACAAUUUCUACUUAUCCUUACAUGGUAAGUGAAAAUU